UUUACAUCUUCUCCCUCCCUUACUUUUAGUCUUCUACUAAUAUUUAUUGUGUCCUGAAGUUGUGACUAUAGAAGAAUAUCAGCCACUUUCCACGUAUGACUCACAGGAGUCUCAGAGGGACGAUGCGAUUGUACCAGCACUGAGUCCCACGUCUGUGCUCGAGGUCCAUUCCAGUGAAGACAACACUAACUUGAAUCUAGAGCUCAUGAUCCAAAGGUUUUGUUUUGGAUGACUAUGUAACAGUCGGUCGAGCCAUUUGUGCCUAAGGACUCUACUGGUGAUGCUGUUGAAGUUAGCGAUAAGGCCUCGAUCCAAAAGGUGCUAGAUACUGUGAAGAACAUUGAGGUCAGAACUGCUGUCAUAGAGGAUAACAUGCAGUCAUUUGAGAAGCGCCUAUUAAAUAUUGAGAGGAGCUUCACUGACCUUCAUGGCUCUUUGUCCCAUGGUAAAGGACGUGUUGAAACAUUCAUGACGGAGAUCCUUAGAACCAAUACUCAAACCAUGAGCAGCCCAUCACAAGCACAACUAACCAGUCCAAAACUGCACUCUAAGACUGACGAAUGCCGCGCUGGUGAAAUCCCUAUGCCAAUGGAAAAAAAAUAACAGACACAUCUGCACUCAACUCGCAUGUCAAGGGAAAAGGCAUUGCAGGAGAUUUCGAGGAGGGAUGUUUGACAUUAUAGUCCCCAAUUCUCCAGGGAUGUUAUCUGAUGACAAGUCAUCUUAGCCUAUUUUAACUAGCCUUUUUCUUUUGUUUUCAAUUGAAUUAUGCACUUUCUUG